rnacentral:misc_RNA from 1 species
GAUGAAGAACGAAGCGAAAUGCGAUAAGUAAUGUGAAUUGCAGAAUUCAGUGAAUCAUCGAAUCUUUGAACGCACAUUGCGCCCGCUAGUAUUCUGGCGGGCAUGCCUGUCCGAGCGUCAUUUCAACCCUCAAGCCCCCGGGCUUGGUGUUGGGGAUCGGCGAGCCUCCGCGCCCGCCGUCCCCUAAAUCUAGUGGCGGUCUCGCUGUAGCUUCCUCUGCGUAGUAGCACACCUCGCACUGGGAAACAGCGCGGCCACGCCGUUAAACCCCCAACUUCUGAACGUUUGACCUCGGAUCAGGGAGGAAUACCCGCUGAACUUAAGCAUAUCAAUAAGCGGAGGA